rfam:Asian citrus Psyllid, Diaphorina citri - Florida Strain, whole genome shotgun sequence.
GCUCCCAUGGCGUAGUGGUCACUGCACUUGCCUUGCACGUGGGAGACCCGGGUUUGAUUCCCGGUCGGGUCA